rnacentral:rRNA from 1 species
UACGUAGGGUGCAAGCGUUAAUCGGAAUUACUGGGCGUAAAGCGUGCGCAGGCGGUUCUAUAAGACAGAUGUGAAAUCCCCGGGCUCAACCUGGGAACUGCAUUUGUGACUGUAGAGCUGGAGUACGGUAGAGGGGGAUGGAAUUCCGCGUGUAGCAGUGAAAUGCGUAGAGAUGUGGAGGAACACCGAUGGCGAAGGCAGCCCCCUGGGCCGAUACUGACGCUCAGGCACGAAAGCGUGGGGAGCAAACAGG